rnacentral:tRNA from 4 species
AAGAUGCUAGUAAAAUCAUUACAUAGCCUUGUCAAGACUAAAUUACAGAUGAAAACCCUGUGCAUCUUA